GACAGAGGUCCCGAGCGUUAGGCGGAAUCACUGGGCUUAAAGCGUGUGUAGGCGGAUUUGUAAGUACCUUGUGAAAUCCCACGGCUUAACCGUGGAACUGCUUGGUAUACUGCUUAUCUUGGGCCAUCUAGGGGCUACUGGAACAAACGGUGGAGCGGUGAAAUGCGUAGAUAUCGUUUGGAACGCCAAUGGUGAAAACAAGUAGCUGGGGAUGUGCCGACGCUGAGACACGAAAGCCAGGGGAGCAAACGGGG
rnacentral:rRNA from 1 species